rnacentral:sRNA from 1 species
ACGUCGACGCGGGGCUUUUCUUUAGCCGGGUCCCGCUAACUCGGCUACGGUGUUCCUGCGUCUUUGGUCAGGCUGCUCCUUGGCUGAGAGGGCAGUCGUCGCGGACCCACGCGGUUAGCAGGGCUUAGUGCUCGGGCAGGCCGCCUUCACUUCCCUCCCGGCUUUUCCUCCCGACUUAUCCACUUUAGGGGCGUCUCGGAGUGGCGGAGGCCCCCGGGGAAGAGCGGGGUGCCGGUGUCCGCUCCGGGCUCGAAUGGGAAGUGGCGGGAGGAGCGACCCGGGAUGUUCAGUCUGAUGGCCAGUUGCUGCGGCUGGUUCAAGAGGUGGCGGGAGCCCGUCAGGUUGGAGUCUCAUCGGUUUUAGUUUCUUCAUUUUCUGCAGAAAGGUGACUCUUUUGAUGGUGGGACUUGAUAAUGCUGGUAAAACCGCAACAGCAAAGGGAAUCCAAGGAGAGAUGGGGUCUCCCUAUGUUGCCCAAGCUGGUCUGGAAUGCCUAGCCUCAAGCUAUUCUUCUGCCUUGGCCUCCAAGAGUGCUGGGAUUACAGGCAUGAGCCACCACGCCCAGCCCGGCCAG